rnacentral:lncRNA from 1 species
UGGAAGGGGAGAGUAUAUCGUAACAAAUCCAUCACCGUGGAGGGUUUUUCCCUUUUCGCUGCUAGUAGCGUUAGCUAUCCAUUACUUCUCAUGACUGCUGAGAGUUUCUUGAUGCCUCGCCACGCAACCAACACUUCCCAAAUGCUACUACUCGGGCUCCACCAAACACAACUCUAUCAUGCGUGUCGCAACAUCCAAUCCACCGCCCUUAUCUGGUGAUGCCAUCAAAGUCACCACCACCAUGUCCGCAUUUGUUCCACCAACACCCCCACAGCUCCUCUACCCC